CUCAAUUCACCCUAAUUUUAGCCCUACCUGCAGCACCUUAUCUGGCAUAGCAGUUAUUUAUUUAUGUCUUGUAAAGCUUAUGCGAACAGAGGCCAUGUCAACUCAUCCUAAACUAAUUACAGGACCUUGCAAUAGUUGUUGAACAAACGCGUCCUGGAUAGGAGAAAGGUGCACAAAAGGUCUGAUGUUAGUUGUCAAACACAGGCCUUCAUACAUCACGCCACCACAACCCUCACAACUCUCUACCCGGACUGCAGCAGAGCCCACCUGCAUUUUCCUCCCAGAGCACCAGCCCUUCCAUUAAAAGACUGCAGGAGCCACUGAUGGAAACGCCCGCACGUGAGAGUACAACCUCAAGAGCGGGAACCGGAAGUCUCCGCGUAUGACGUCACUGGGAAGCUCGGUUCCAUGAAGCCAGUAGUGCCAGACGGCGCCGGGGGCACAGGUUCUCCUGGGCCUGGAGGCGCGAGGUCGCUAAAAGAGGGCCGGGAAGUUAGCUCCGAAAUGGCGGCUGUCAGGUUAGGGAAGCCAGGCCGCUCAGGCCUGAUCGUCUUUCCCCGCCCACUUGGGUCGGUGCACACUUCCGCCUCGGGGCCCCGCACCCUGCAGUCUCGCUCCGGCUUCCCAGCAUGCCCCACGCUGUCUCCCUGGCAACGGUGCCCAACAGCAGGGCCGGGAGGUCCCGGAGCUCGGCGGUGCGGCUGCACCUACGUGAGAGCUGCCCAACAUACGUCCCAAUUACGGGUGGGACUGUGGGCGCCGCCGCUCCUCCGCCCUCGACNNNNNNNNNNNNNNNNNNNNNNNNNNNNNNNNCCUAAAGGUAUGCGAAAGGCGAAGGGCGCUCCUCGGGGCUCGCCGGGAAGGUGGUGGCUUCAGGCUGCCCCAGCCGGAAUCCGCAUCCGUGGGCCCGCGACCUCUUCACUUCCCUCAGCUCCUUUCCUCCCGGAUUUGCUCCAGGCUCCGGAGAAUCAGUGUUGCCGGCGUCUCCUCCCGCUCUGCGAAAAUGGAAGAGAACUACUUGACUUCAACCUGUGA
rnacentral:lncRNA from 1 species